rnacentral:rRNA from 1 species
UAGCUUGGGCGCAGCAUGAUCCAGCCAUGCCGCGUGAGUGAUGAAGGCCUUCGGGUUGUAAAGCUCUUUUGUCCGGGAAGAAAAUGACGGGACCGGGCGAAUAAGCCCCGGCUAGCUUCGUGCCAGCAGCCCCGCCGCUAUUUUAUGCCCGCCGCCGCGAGUAUAA